rnacentral:rRNA from 1 species
UACGUAGGGGGCAAGCGUUGUCCGGAUUUAUUGGGCGUAAAAGGCUUGUAGGUGGCCACGCCAAGUCGGAUGUGAAAUCUCCCGGCUCAACUGGGAGGGGUCAUUCGAUACUGGCGGGCUCGAGGCCGGUAGGGGGAAGUGGAAUUCCCGGUGUAGUGGUGGAAUGCGUAGAUAUCUGGAGGAACACCGGUGGCGAAGGCGGCAUCCUGGACCGGCAUUGACGCUGAGGCGCGAAAGCCAGGGGAGCAAACGGG